GGGGCUGAUUCUGGAUUCGACGGGAUUCGCGAAACCCAAGGUGCAUGCCGAGGGGCGGUUGGCCUCGUAAAAAGCCGCAAAAAAAUAGUCGCAAACGACGAAAACUACGCUUUAGCAGCUUAAUAACCUGCUUAGAGCCCUCUCUCCCUAGCCUCCGCUCUUAGGACGGGGAUCAAGAGAGGUCAAACCCAAAAGAGAUCGCGUGGAUGCCCUGCCUGGGGUUGAAGCGUUAAAACUAAUCAGGCUAGUUUGUUAGUGGCGUGUCCGUCCGCAGCCGGCAAGCGAAAUUAAAGACUGGACUAAGCAUGUAGUACCGAGGAUGUAGGAAUUUCGGACGCGGGUUCAACUCCCGCCAGCUCCACCA
rnacentral:tmRNA from 5 species